rnacentral:rRNA from 1 species
AACGAACGCUGGCGGCAUGCCUAACACAUGCAAGUCGAACGAGACCUUCGGGUCUAGUGGCGCACGGGUGCGUAACGCGUGGGAACCUGCCCUUAGGUUCGGAAUAACUCCCCGAAAGGGGUGCUAAUACCGGAUAAUGUCUUCGGACCAAAGAUUUAUCGCCUUUGGAUGAGCCCGCGUUGGAUUAGCUAGUUGGUAGGGUAAAAGCCUACCAAGGCGACGAUCCAUAGCUGGUCUGAGAGGAUGAUCAGCCACACUGGGACUGAGACACGGCCCAGACUCCUACGGGAGGCAGCAGUGGGGAAUAUUGGACCAUGGGCGAAAGCCUGAUCCAGCAAUGCCGCGUGAGUGAUGAAGGCCUUAGGGUUGUAAAGCUCUUUUACCCGGGAUGAUAAUGACAGUACCGGGAGAAUAAGCUCCGGCUAACUCCGUG